rnacentral:rRNA from 1 species
GACGAACGCUGGCGGCGUGCUUAACACAUGCAAGUCGAGCGGUAAGGCCUUUCGGGGUACACGAGCGGCGAACGGGUGAGUAACACGUGGGUGAUCUGCCCUGCACUUCGGGAUAAGCCUGGGAAACUGGGUCUAAUACCGGAUAUGACCUCCUAUCGCAUGGUGGGUGGUGGAAAGAUUUAUCGGUGCAGGAUGGGCCCGCGGCCUAUCAGCUUGUUGGUGGGGUAAUGGCCUACCAAGGCGACGACGGGUAGCCGACCUGAGAGGGUGACCGGCCACACUGGGACUGAGACACGGCCCAGACUCCUACGGGAGGCAGCAGUGGGGAAUAUUGCACAAUGGGCGAAAGCCUGAUGCAGCGACGCCGCGUGAGGGAUGACGGCCUUCGGGUUGUAAACCUCGUUCAGCAGGGACGAAGCGCAAGUGACGGUACCUGCAGAAGAAGCACCGGCUAACUACGUG